AGAGUUUGAUCAUGGCUCAGGAUGAACGCUGGCGGCGUGCCUAACACGUGCAAGUCGAGCGGAGAUAAUUGAGAGCUUGCUUUUGAUUAUCUUAGCGGCGGACGGGUGAGUAACGCGUGGGCAACCUGCCCUGUACAGAGGAAUAACAUUGGGAAAUCGAUGCUAAUGCCGCAUAAGCUUACAGUGUCGCAUGGCAAAGUAAGAAAAGAUUUAUCGGUACAGGAGGGGCCCGCGUCUGAUUAGGUAGUUGGUGGGGUAACGGCCUACCAAGCCGACGAUCAGUAGCCGACCUGAGAGGGUGAUCGGCCACAUUGGAGCUGAGACACGGUCCAAACUCCUACGGGAGGCAGCAGUGGGGAAUAUUGCACAAUGGGGGGAACCCUGAUGCAGCAACGCCGCGUGAAGGAAGAAGUAUUUCGGUACGUAAACUUCUAUCAAUAGGGACGAAAGAGAUGACGGUACCUAAAUAAGAAGCCCCGGCUAAAUACGUGCCAGCAGCCGCGGUAAUACGUAUGGGGCAAGCGUUAUCCGGAUUUACUGGGUGUAAAGGGUGAGUAGGCGGUCAGGCAAGUCAUAUGUGAAAUUCCCGGGCUUAACCCGGGCGCUGCAUAAGAAACUGUCAGACUAGAGUGCAGGAGAGGUAAGCGGAAUUCCCAGUGUAGCGGUGAAAUGCGUAGAUAUUGGGAAGAACACCGGUGGCGAAGGCGGCUUACUGGACUGAAACUGACGCUGAGUCACGAAAGCGUGGGGAGCGAACAGGAUUAGAUACCCUGGUAGUCCACGCCGUAAACGAUGAGUGC
rnacentral:rRNA from 1 species